ACGAGUGUGCCGAAAUGGUAGCCGGGUGACUUUUAGGAAGUUAUGAUAAUAAACAAUCGUAAGAGUUCAAAUCUCUUUACUCGUA